UCCAUAAACAGUGUCUUCUUUAAACCCUUUUUAGUAUUUAUCCAUCCCAUUCUUCUUCUUCUUCGCCGCCGCCGACGAUGCUCUUAGUCUUUUGAGGGUUGCAGUUGGAAACCCAGAACGCCAAAUUGAUUCAUAGACUUUUCUCUCUCUGCCAUGGCUAUCGACGGAGAACAGUCGCACAAAUCUCAAAGGUCACGUCAGUCUGGUCCUACCGCCAAGAAAAAAUCCAAGUCCGACAAGAAAAUAAAGGGUGCUUCCGACGAAAACAAUAAACAACAUAAUCCUAAGGCAUUUGCAUUUAAUUCCACGGUGAAAGCAAAGAAAUUGCAAGCAUGAGCAACAGAGAAGGAGCAGAAGAGGCUUCAUGUCCCAACAGUUGAUAGGUCCACUGGUGAACCAGCUCCAUAUGUUAUUGUAGUGCAGGGACCUCCCAAGGUUGGGAAGUCACUGUUAAUUAAGUCUCUCGUGAAGCACUAUACAAAGCAAAAUUUACCUGAAGUUCGAGGUCCCAUCACUAUAGUAUCAGGUAAGCAGAGACGUUUGCAGUUUAUAGAGUGUCCGAAUGAUAUCAAUGGAAUGAUUGAUGUGGCAAAGUUUGCGGAUUUGGCAUUGCUUCUCAUUG